rnacentral:rRNA from 1 species
AGGAUAAACGCUGGCGGCGUGCCUAAAACAUGCAAGUCGAACGGACCCUUCGGGGUUAGUGGCGAACGGCUGAGUAACACGUGGGUGACCUGCCUUCGAACGGGGGAUAACUGCCCGAAAGGGUGGCUAAUACCGCAGAUGUCAUUGAUUCGGUUCGGUGACUGAACUUCCGGGGCUCGGAGAGGGGCCUGCGUCCGAUUAGCUAGCUGGUGGGGUAACGGCCUACCAGGGCGACGAUCGGUAGCUGGUCUGAGAGGAUGAUCAGCCAGACUGGGACUGCGAGACGGCCCAGACUCCUACGGGGAGCAGCAGUUAGGAAUUUGGGCAAGUGGGCGAAAGCCUAGACCCAGCAACGCGCGUGGACGAGGAACGGU